CCCACUUAGACUUCAAUCAAAGCUAUUCUGCUUUUACCUGUAUUAUAACCUAAGAUUUUAGGGAAAUUUAUUUUAGGAAAAAUGAUUUUGGUGCUUAAAGAUAAACUUAUCUGGUAAACUGCUGAGAUAUUGGCAUUCCCUUUGGACUUUUGAGCCAGAGGUGUGAUGUGAUGAAGUAAAACACAGUGGUGGGGGAAAAAAGAGAUAAUGGAAAGUGAAUGGAACUGGAAGGAAAGAAGGCCUGAAACUUGGAUCUUCUUCCUCUUCCUCAUAAUCUUUAUGACAUUGAAUGACAUAGUUUAUAGGUUUUCAUCUCUUUGGGUCACAGUUUCCUUAUCUGUAAAAGGGGGACCUUGAACUGGGUCAUUUAAGGCCUUUCCAGCCAGCUUUUAACACUUUCUCUGAUCUGUUUUGGCCAUUUCUUUUCCUCCAUGCUGCCCCACCCCCCUUGCCUCUAUUUUUAGAAUACAAGCCUCUUGGUUUCUUUGAGCAAAGGGUCUUAGGCAUUAGUCUAAGGCAGUGGAGGUAGUAUGUGACCUUUCAACUGGACUUAAAAGCAGUGUCAUUGUCUCCUCUAAGUACCCUAAGAGUACUUACACAUAGUUUGUUGUGUGUUUCCAUCUUUCCAUAAAAGGUUGAAGUAUUUGAAGUUGAGCCUCUUAAAAAUACAGCAGCAGCUACAAAAUGAAAUUGAU
rnacentral:lncRNA from 10 species